AUUGAACGCUGGCGGCAGGCCUAACACAUGCAAGUCGAGCGGAGCGGCGGACGGGGGCGUAAUGCCUAGGUAUCUGCCUGGUAGUGGGGGAUAGGGUUCGGAAACGGGCGCUAAUACCGCAUACUAUCAGAUGAGCCUAGGUCGGAUUAGCUAGUUGGUGGGGUAAAGGCCUACCAAGGCGACGAUCCGUAACUGGUCUGAGAGGACGAUCAGCCACACUGGAACUGAGACACGGCCCAGACUCCUACGGGAGGCAGCAGUGGGGAAUUUUGGACAAUGGGCGAAACCCUGAUCCAGCCAUGCCGCGUGUGUGAAGAAGGUCUUCGGAUUGUAAAGCACUUUUAGUUGGGAGGCGGUACCUGCAGAAUAAGCACCGGCUAACUUCGUGCCAGCAGCCGCGGUAAUAC
rnacentral:rRNA from 1 species